UGGCGGGGUAACGGCCCGCCAAGCCUAUAACGGGUAGGGGCCGUGAGAGCGGGAGCCCCGAGAUGGGCACUGAGACAAGGGCCCAGGCCCUACGGGGUGCACCAGGGGCGAAACUUCCGCAAUGCGGGAAACCGUGACGGAGUCACCCCGAGUGCCACCCGAUGAGGGUGGCUUUUGCCCGGUCUAAAAAGCCGGGCGAAUAAGCGGGGGGCAAGCUUGGUGUCAGCCGCCGCGGUAAUACCAACCCCGCGAGUGGUCGGGACGUUUAUUGGGCCUAAAGCGUCCGUAGCCGGCCCGGUAAGUCCCUCCUUAAAGCCCACGGCUCAACCGUGGGAGCGGAGGGAUACUGCCGGGCUAGGGGGCGGGAGAGGCCGGGGGUACUCCUGGGGUAGGGGCGAAAUCCUAUAAUCCCAGGAGGACCACCAGUGGCGAAGGCGCCCGGCUAGCACGCGCCCGACGGUGAGGGACGAAAGCUGGGGGAGCAAAGGGGAUUAGAU
rnacentral:rRNA from 1 species